rnacentral:rRNA from 1 species
UACGUAGGGUGCGAGCGUUGUUCGGAAUCAUUGGGCGUAAAGCGCAUGUAGGCGGCUAAGUAAGUCUGAUGUGAAAUCCCGGGGCUCAACCCCGGAACUGCGUUGGAUACUGCUUAGCUAGAGGGUGAGAGAGGAGAGUGGAAUUCCUGGUGUAGGGGUGAAAUCCGUAGAUAUCAGGAGGAACAUCGGAGGCGAAGGCGGCUCUCUGGCUCAUUUCUGACGCUGAGAUGCGAAAGCGUGGGGAGCAAACAGG